UACGGAGGGUGCAAGCGUUAUCCGGAUUCACUGGGUUUAAAGGGUGCGUAGGUGGAUUAGUAAGUCAGUGGUGAAAUCUCCGGGCUUAACCCGGAAACUGCCAUUGAUACUAUUAGUCUUGAAUACCGUGGAGGUCAGCGGAAUAUGUCAUGUAGCGGUGAAAUGCUUAGAUAUGACAUAGAGCACCAAUUGCGAAGGCAGCUGGCUACACGAGCAUUGACACUCAGGCACGAAAGCGUGGGGAUCAAACAGG
rnacentral:rRNA from 1 species